CAUUACCGAGAUUAGGGUCCUUCGGGGUCUGACCCUCCCACCCUUUGUGUAUUAUACCUUUGUUGCUUCGGCGGAUAUUUCAGGUUGCGGUACUGGCUUGCCACGUACCAGCCUCCGAGUCCGCCAGAGGCUCUCUCCAUUCUGAAUUAUUAGUGUUGUCUGAGUAACCGAUUAAAUAAACUAAAACUUUCAACAACGGAUCUCUUGGUUCUGGCAUCGAUGAAGAACGCAGCGAAAUGCGAUAAGUAAUGUGAAUUGCAGAAUUCAGUGAAUCAUCGAAUCUUUGAACGCACAUUGCGCCCUCCGGUAUUCCGGGGGGCAUGCCUGUUCGAGCGUCAUUACACCUCUCAAGCUCAGCUUGGUAUUGGGCCUCCGUCCUCCGCGGAUGGGCCUGAAAACCAGUGGCAGUGCAGCCGGUGCUCAAGCGUAGUAAUUUUUAUCCCGCUUUGGAGUCGCCGGGUGGACCCGCCAGACAA
rnacentral:rRNA from 1 species